rnacentral:lncRNA from 10 species
AGCGAGUCCAGUCCGUGGCUGCUGACUCUUUACAGCACUCUACUUGGAGUCUGUAAGCCGCCCGGACUUUCAGCCGGACUGACAAGUGGAGUAUCUGUGUCAGUGUACGUUACUCAUCCGUCGUUGGGUCAGGGUCUGCGGGAUGGACCCCCGCAAUGUACAGUGAAACAGCUGCCUCGUUCACCCCUGCAAGAGAAGAGAGGUUUAUUUGGUGGAGAAAUUGAACUAGAGGCUCCAUACUGAAGGACACCCAAAGCAUAGCAGGAGAGCAAGAGAGGCUGGCACUAAAAUAGAGCUAUCCACUUAUUCCAGUUCAGUGUUGAAGAUGGCUGGAGCCCAUCCCAGUAGCUCAGGGCAGAAGGCAGGAACCAACCCUGGAGACCAUCAAGCUUCAGAUGAUCAGGCAACAAAGGCUCCAGCCAGUUGCAGGUGAAGACAGCACCCCUGGCCUUCAAGGAGCUACCCUGCCUUCUCUAGACAGAGCAGGACGAGAGUUCCAUGAUCCCCAUCAGACGUGCCUUGCUUCCCCUCACCUACCACCAUGAUUUAAGUUUCCCGAGACCUCUUCAGCCAUGUGGAACUAAGCCGUAGGGGAUUGUUCUCCAGUCUUGACUUUGAGAACUUGGUAGAGCUCCUGAAGGCUCACCUGAUAAGAGAUGUAUGUCACAAUCUGCUCACCCUGGCAUUUCUCUAAAUAGAAGGUUCAUCUGUCUGAAUAUAGAUAUCAAGAAGUGGCAGAGUAUCAGAGGAGAAAGAUAUCAAGAAAUAGAAUAUUCAAGGUAGCAAGAAACAGGCCUCUGAAAUUUAAGAACCACAAAACAAUAAAAGAAGUAAACUCUUUUGUUGAAAAGCUCCAAUUCCCCUGUAAACGUCUCAUUCAGAGUCUAAUUGUAACCCAAUUAAGAAAAUUAAGAUGAGUAGAAACAGCUGGAACAGAAGGCACUUGGGGUGAAGUGUACCCUCUGCAGUCAUUAUUUGAUGGAGAUCAUUACCCAACUCUACACACAGCACAUGAUAUUUAAUAUGAUUGGACUAAUUUAUAUCUGAAAAGAAUAAAAGUAUGUUAUGUAAAUAAAUCGAGUGACCUAUUAGCUCAAAUUCUUAAACACUCAGUUAUCCAACGUUGCAAGUACAGUCAUGUGAUAAACCUUCAAAAUGCGGUUAGUCCUCUUUCUGUAUCUGUCCACAGCAUUACCUUUUUUCCUUUUGGUCAUGGCAAUAUAUUCAUCUCAUGAGUGUUACAGCCAGAGAUGCACCAGUAACAACAUUGUGAUGUCCCAUGUUUAAUUUUAUGUGUGGUGAGUGUUAAAGGGAGAAUAAAGCCUUAAUUUGAAUUUAAAACUGGUAAUUAC